rnacentral:rRNA from 1 species
UACGUAGGCAGCGAGCGUUGUUCGGAGUUACUGGGCGUAAAGCGUGCGUAGGCGGUUUUGUAAGUUUGGUGUGAAAUCUCCCGGCUCAACCGGGAGGGUGCGCCGAAAACUGCAAGGCUGGAGUGUGGGAGAGGUAGGCGGAAUUCCUGGUGUAGCGGUGAAAUGCGUAGAUAUCAGGAGGAACACCUGUGGUGUAGACGGCUUACUGGACCAUGACUGACGCUGAGGCACGAAAGCGUGGGGAGCAAACAGGAUUAGAUACCCUGGUAGUCCACGCCCUAAACGAUGCAUACUUGGUGUGGGUAAUUCAUUUUAUCUGUGCCGGAGCUAACGCGUUAAGUAUGCCGCCUGGGGAGUACGGUCGCAAGGCUGAA